GUGGGGAAUAUUGGACAAUGGGCGCAAGCCUGAUCCAGCCAUGCCGCGUGAGUGAUGAAGGCCCUAGGGUUGUAAAGCUCUUUCAACGGUGAAGAUAAUGACGGUAGCCGUAGAAGAAGCCCCGGCUAACUUCGUGCCAGCAGCCGCGGUAAUACGAAGGGGGCAAGCGUUGUUCGGAAUAACUGGGCGUAAAGCGCACGUAGGCGGAUUGAUAAGUUAGAGGUGAAAUCCCAGGGCUCAACCCUGGAACGGCCUUUAAUACUGUCAGUCUAGAGAUCGAGAGAGGUGAGUGGAAUUCCGAGUGUAGAGGUGAAAUUCGUAGAUAUUCGGAGGAACACCAGUGGCGAAGGCGGCUCACUGGCUCGAUACUGACGCUGAGGUGCGAAAGCGUGGGGAGCAAACAGG
rnacentral:rRNA from 1 species